CGCACCUUGCGCCUUUUGGUAUUCCGAAAGGCAUGCCUGUUUGAGUGUCAUGAAACCUUCAACCCCCGGGUUUCCGGGUGGCUUGGAUUUGGGCGUUGCCGGUCGGCUCGCCUCAAAAGUGUCAGUGGGAUAGGCCGUUGCCUGACGUGAUAAGUUUCGUCUCGCCCCGUGCCGACGCCCGCUCAUAACCCCCAUGUUUUGUGCUCUGACCUCAAAUCAGGUAGGACUACCCGCCGAACUUAA
rnacentral:misc_RNA from 1 species